UACGUAGGGGGCUAGCGUUGUCCGGAUUUAUUGGGCGUAAAGAGCGUGUAGGCGGCCAGGUAGGUCCGUUGUGAAAACUCGAGGCUCAACCUCGAGACGUCGGCGGAAACCCCCUGGCUAGAGUCCGGAAGAGGAGAGUGGAAUUCCUGGUGUAGCGGUGAAAUGCGCAGAUAUCAGGAAGAACACCCGUGGCGAAGGCGGCUCUCUGGGACGGUACUGACGCUGAGACGCGAAAGCGUGGGGAGCAAACAGG
rnacentral:rRNA from 1 species